UGGGGAAUUUUGGACAAUGGGCGAAAGCCUGAUCCAGCAAUGCCGCGUGUGUGAAGAAGGCCUUCGGGUUGUAAAGCACUUUUGUCAGGAACGAAAUCCCUUGGGCUAAUACCUCGGGGGAUGACGGUACCUGAAGAAUAAGCACCGGCUAACUACGUGCCAGCAGCCGCGGUAAUACGUAGGGUGCGAGCGUUAAUCGGAAUUACUGGGCGUAAAGCGUGCGCAGGCGGUUUCGUAAGACGGAUGUGAAAUCCCCGGGCUUAACCUGGGAACUGCAUUCGUGACUGCGAGACUAGAGUGUGUCAGAGGGAGGUGGAAUUCCGCGUGUAGCAGUGAAAUGCGUAGAGAUGCGGAGGAACACCGAUGGCGAAGGCAGCCUCCUGGGAUAACACUGACGCUCAUGCACGAAAGCGUGGGGAGCAAACAGGAUUAGAUACCCUGGUAGUCCACGCCCUAAACGAUGUCUACUAGUUGUCGGUCCUUCAAUGGAUCGGUAACGCAGCUAACGCGUGAAGUAGACCGCCUGGGGAGUACGGUCGCAAGAUUAGAACUCAAAAGGAAUUGACGGGGUCAUAGCU
rnacentral:rRNA from 1 species